rnacentral:rRNA from 1 species
CAGCCGCCACGGUAAUACGAAGGGUGCAAGCGUUAAUCGGAAUUACUGGGCGUAAAGGGCGCGUAGGCGGCGCGGUAAGUCACUUGUGAAAUCUCUGAGCUUAACUCAGAACGGCCAAGUGAUACUGCUGUGCUAGAGUGCGGAAGAGGCAACCGGAAUUCUUGGUGUAGCGGUGAAAUGCGUAGAUAUCAAGAGGAACACCUGAGGCGAAGGCGGGUUGCUGGGCCGACACUGACGCUGAUGCGCGAAAGCCAGGGGAGCAAACGGGAUUAGAUACCCCUGUAGUCCCUGUCUCUUAUAU